GAAAAAUCUACCACUCAUCCACUCCGCCAUGGCGGCGCCUUCCUCCCUCUCCUUCCUCCCCGCGCACGCGCAGCCCCUCUCCCCCCUUCACCCCCGCCGCCUCCGCCAUCCAGCCGCCGCGCCGACCACUCCCGAACCCCUCACGCUCGCUGUCCGGUGCGCCGCGAAGGCGGCGCCGGCUCCGGCAGCGCCGGCGAGGCCCAUCCCGCCGCCGAAGCUGGUCCGCUGCCCGGCGCUGGACCGGCAGGCGGCGCGCGCGAGCCGGCUCCGCUUCGCCCGCAAGCUCCUCACCCUGCUCCUCUCCAAGCCGCGCGGCUUCCUCCCGCUCCGCGUCCUCCUCCGCUGCCGCCGCUUCCUCGGCCUCCCGCGCCGCCGCCCGCUCGUCCCCUUCGUCCUCCGCUACCCCACGCUCUUCCGCCUCUUCCAGGCGCCCAUCUCCCGCCCGCUCUCGCCCUCCCUCUCCACCCUCGCCGUCGCGCUCACCCCCGCCGCCCACGCGCUCGCCGCCGACCUCGCCGCCCUGCGCGGGGCCGAGCUCGCGCCCGGACUCGCGGAGAAGGUGCACCGCCUCCUCCUCAUGACCCCCCGGCGCAGCCUCCUGGUGUCCAAGCUCGCGCACAUCGCGCCCGACCUCGGCCUCGCCAUGGACUUCCGCGCCACGCUCUGCCCCCGCCACCCGGACGUCUUCACCUUCGCAAACACCUCCCACGGCCACGCGCUCCGGCUGGUCGACCCGCCGCCGCCGCCUCCUUCACCCCUCCCCCCGCCGCUCCGCCCCGCCGUCCGUCCCGACCGCCUCAUCGACCGGCCGCGGAGGUUCCCGCACCUCCCGCUCCGCCGCGGGCUCAACCUCCGCCGCGCGCACCGGGACUACCUCAUCCGGUUCCACAGCCUGCCCGAGGCUUCCCCGUUCGAGCCGCUGGAGGAGGGCGCGAGCGCGGAGAUGGCGGAGCGGCGGGCGUGCGCGGUGGUGCGGGAGGUGCUGGCGAUGACGGUGGAGAAGAGGACGCUCGUGGACCACCUCACGCACUUCCGGAGGGACUUCGGGCUGCCCAACCGGCUGCGCGCGCUGCUGGUGCGCCACCCGGAGCUCUUCUACGUCAGCAUCAAGGGCGUCCGGCAUUCGGCGUUCCUGGUGGAGGCGUUCGACGACGAGGGAAGGCUUCUCGUGGAGGACGGGAUGCUGGUUGGGAGGGACCGGCUGGAGGAGCUUGUCCGGGAGGGCAAGAAGAUCAGACGGGCUCGAAAGAAGGGUGUUUUUCCGGUUGAUGGCGACAGUGACGAGGAUGAUGAGGAAUAUGAUAAUGUAGCAGAGGGUUCGUCAGAGUUGGAUGGUGAUUUCGGGGACCUGUUUGAAGAAGACAGUGUCGCUGGGGAAGACUGGAAUGAGGUGGGUGAUGGAGGCGGAAUCGAGGGGGAUGGCGACGACGAAGAUGAUCCUGAAGCUGAUGCCAUGGAGGAGUUUUGGGUGAAGAAGGCUGCGGAGGAGGGGCUGGUUGACAGUGGCACCGAGCAUGAUGUUUGGUGAGGAGUGUCGAGAUGCUAGGAUUUAUGCACAUGCUGUGACCAUGGAUUGCUCAACUGCAUUCUUCUCAGCGAUAUUCAGUAGCCAGAAGUAUUAGUACAUAACUUGGGAGCUUGGAUACUGAAGGCGAGGGUGAAGGGUGGUUCGAAUACUAUGGCCUGUCUGAGGCAUAAUUUUCCACUUUCCUCUGUCCAUGGAGGCAUGCACCUCCAGGACAACAAUGUCCUAGCGUCUGUUGAUGCUGUCAGAACCAUCGACAAGGAUGCUGUAGAGUCUGCGAUGACCACUCCCAAGCUACGACAUACAGAAUAUGGUCGUCAAUAUUGCAUCUUUGUACCUCUGGAUUACCGAAAUGAAGAACAGAAGUGGAAACUAAACCAGCACUCGAGGACUGCAGGAUCACCGCUCGUGAAAGCCUGCAAUUCAAGUGUUCCUUAUACUACAACUGUAUGUAUACAUUUAUUUAUUUUCUACAAUUAAUUGAUGGUCAUAUUUUUGCAUGAACUUUUGCAAGUGUAUAUUUCAUGGCACGAUGCGCACCUAUGAUUUUAUUUUGCUAUUAUAUAAGUUUGUGGACAUCUGAAACCACAGAAGUCUUGUAUGUGCUCAUUUUUAGGUAGGUUUAGAGGUUGCACUACUGGAAACAAGCACUAUUUGAGCUAAAAUGAACAUGGUACGGUUCACCACUGGAAGUCUGGAACUACUUCCUGCAGAAUGAAUUUGCAUCAUGUCGGUAGUGAAUCCUGAUCAAGUUCCCUAGGCACUUCUUGUAGGAGAAAACAAGCACCCGCUGCUAUGGAAAUGCUGAUGCUUGUCAACCUGCAAACAGGGAAAUAAUUUCCUGGACAUUUCUACUUGGUUCUUAUGAUUCAUCGUAAACAGACGGGCAAGCUGCUCACAUCAUGUAGUUGUCAUGUCCCGCCAGCGUCUUUUCUUUCUUGGGUUGGUACUCAAGAAUAUCUUUGAUGACAAACAUGUCUUCCUCUUCAGAAAGCUAAAUGCCAUCACUCCAAAGUAUUGAAAGAGACCCAAACACAUAAGGUUUAAAAACAAAGGUUCCCCAAACAAAUACAAACAAAUAGCAAGGGUGCCUACAAGAGCAGGUGCAUUCUUCAAUCAUUGCAGUUACCUUAACUUUAUGAUAUUCAAACUUAAACCCAACGCUUAUUUUACCACCUAUAUGUCAGCUUAGUACCUGAAGAGUUGUAGCUAC
rnacentral:rRNA from 1 species